AUGCUGGAUGCUUCCUGCCCACCCACCAACUCCCAGACUUCAGACCUCUGGCUGUUCAUCUGUCACUGUACUCAGAGUUCCAAGGUCCCCACCCCCAGAGGCCUCAGAGCUUUCGGGGUGGCCCUUUGUUCCCUAGCAAGACCCAGCAUAUGCCCCGUGCUGAUAGAUGCUACAGAGUCUGCUCCCUGCAAAGCCACGGGUACCCCUCCCAGUGGAAGCCCCGAUCCUUUCUCCAGAACCCUGCUGGAGAUAUGCCAAGCCUGAUAAGAGAGAAAAGAAAUUAUACACCACGGGAGUGGCAAGAAAUAGCCAGUCUGUACUGGCAGGAGCAGGGGAAAUAUCCCUGGGAUUGGAAUUUGAGGGUGCUGGAUCAAGAGGGACAGGAAUAGAAGACUGGAUAAGCAGGUUUUACUGAGUGGGGGCACUUUCUCCAUAGCACAGGAUUUAACAUACUGGCAGGGACUCCAGGAGAUGGGGGAAAUUUGCCACCCAGAGUGGCCCUUCAAAGCUUUAAGAAAGUGAUGCCCCCCCACACACAUGGAGGGAAGUGCAAGUGCCCACCGUGGACCAGCCGGUGGUAGAGGAAGGAAGAAAAAGGUUGAUCGAGGCAGGCAUGCUGGAGCGGACAGAAAACGUGAGGCCGGUCACAUCGCCAGGUGGUUAUGCCCUGGGGGAGGGCCGAGAGGACACACUAUUCACCAAAACCACCAGCAUCACCAAGAAGUCCAGUGGUUGCUCUCCUCUGCAAGCCAAUGCAGAUGACAGGUGGAAAGGGACCGUGGCCUACGCUCAUUACUACCCACGGGAAUGAUGGAAUUCUGAUGUAAUGGAGGGCAGGGGAUGGCUCUUGAUCAAGAGACCCGGGGAGACCCCGUUUCCAGUCACGACUGGCAAGGUCAGAGGGGCAGUCAAGAGUGACUGACUGAAAAAAAAAAAAAAAAGAGUGAUUGACUGGCACGGAGCUGAGAGGAUGGUCCAGACAGCCUGGCUCCCUUGCGGCAACUACAGCCAGAAAAAGGCAAGAGAAAGAGGGUGGUCGUCCCAGUAAAAAAAAAAGUCACGGUUUCUGGCUCAGUUCCUGGUCCUGAGCCAAUUUUGAGACCGGCCCCGCUGACUGAAGGGUUGGAGGCAUCCUGAGGAGGAAGGAUGUGGAAACAAGCCGGUGAGUAUAUAUACUGUUUAUGAUGCCACUGUCCUUCUCUGUGGAGGACUGCCAUUGCUCAGGAGACGGUGCCCUGGGGAAAGAGGAAUACCCAGACAUGUCUAGGACUAUUUGACACAGGGUCUGAGAUGACACUGAUUCUGGAGACCCAAAGUGUCACCACGGGGGCCUGGUCGGACUGGGGAUCAGGAGACUCUGCUAAUAAAAGGAGUUGGGGCUAGAGAUCCAGUCAUGGAAAGCCGACUGGAUCCCUGGACCGACGCGGUGGUCAUUUCUCCAGUCCACAAGUUGACAACUGAUUUGCUUGGCAGUUGGAGCACCCCCCACCCACCCACGUACACUCACUGGGCCAUUUGUCUGUGGGGUAAGAAGUUAUGGUGCUGGGGGAGGCUGAGCGGAUCCACUGACACUGGUCCCCACCACAGGCCAAACUGGUAAGUGGAAACCAAUAUCAGAUCUUGGCGAGGCUGAAGGAAGGGAGUCAGCAGAGAGGAUGGACACCACUGGAGACCUAUAGGAUGCAGCAAAAGAGGAGGUAGGAGAACCCCAGUGAUGAAGAGAGUGGCAAAGGUGUGAAGGGCUCUAGGAUUCUGUCUAGGGGGAGAGGGAUGGAGGAGGCUUCCACUGGAUCCAUCGGUAACGUUUCCGAGGAGGCUGAUGGGUAGAGGAGAUUCUGCUAUAUCCUUCGUGAUCCAUUUUGCCAUGUCUGAAAUAGCACACCAUGACUUUAGGAGUCACUGGGAGAAGUGGCAAGAGGGCGUUUUCCACAGCCAAGCAGGGACAGUGGGGAUAGUGGCACACUUGAGGAGGAGGCUCAUUGCAGAUUUAGAAUGUGCCCAAUCUCCCCCCACCCUGUAACCUUCUCCAGCAUGGUAGGCUUCUCAGGUGCAGACCCAGUGCAAGCAAGAGGUGUUCAGGCACCCCAGGCCUCUCUUGGGGAUCAGCCAGAGUAGGAUGCAGGAAGAAGAGGCAAGGGGCAGACAGAGGAGUAUGAGAGGAAGGGAAAGUACGCAACGAACGGAGGGCCCUUGGAGUAGGGGUUGGGUGGCAAACAAGGGAAGUUAUAUAUAACAGGCCAGGACCUCACACAAGCCAAGGGAGGGCCCAAUCCCAGAUAUCAGGACUGCUCAGCUCAGAGAAGCUGGGAACCGGCAGCCUCAGGAAAAUUUGAGAGACAAGCGGGGCCCGACCCCCACCCCCACCGUUAGGCCUAGUUAGUUGGGCGUUGCUCCAGACCUUGCCUUCCGGUGCCCACUUUCCCAUCAGGAUCUAAGUGCCGCUGUGGAACAAAGGGCGGCGAAUCCUCUGUGCACUAGGUGCUUCACCUCCCUCCUGACGUUUCGUUUCCACAACCCUGGAGACAGGUACUGGCACACCCUGUUCUGUGGAAGG
rnacentral:lncRNA from 1 species